AGGGCAUUUAGUGGAUGCCUUGGGACAAAGAGGCGAUGAAGGACGUGGCACGCUGCGAUAAGCCCCGGUUAGCCGUGAGCAGGCUUUUACCCGGGGAUCUCCGAAUGGGGAAACCCACGGCUUCGGCCGUAUUACAUAAUGAAUACAUAGUUAUGUAAAGCAAACCCGGCGAAUUGAAACAUCUUAGUAGCCGGAGGAAAGGACAUCAACCGAGACUCCGUUAGUAGUGGCGAGCGAACGCGGAUCAGGCCAGUCUUUUAUAAAAUGAAAGCAGAACUGUCUGGAAAGGCAGGCUAUAAUGGGUGAUAGCCCCGUAUGCGUACAUCAUUUAAUAAAAGCUCGAGUAGGGCGGGACACGUGAAAUCCUGUCUGAACGUGGGGGGACCACCCUCCAAGCCUAAGUACUCCUUUGUCACCGAUAGCGAACUAGUACCGUGAGGGAAAGGUGAAAAGUACCCCUAUUAGGGGAGUGAAACAGAACCUGAAACCGAAUGCCUACAAGCAGUCGAAGCCUCCUUGAGAGGUGACGGCGUACCUUUUGUAUAAUGGGUCAGCGAGUUACUCUACGCAGCAAGCUUAAACCGUUAGGUGUAGGCGUAGCGAAAGCGAGUCUUAAUAGGGCGAUUUAGUUGCUUGGAGUAGACCCGAAACCGGGUGAUCUAGCUAUGAGCAGGUUGAAGGUGCGGUAACACGCACUGGAGGACCGAACCCACGUCUGUUGAAAAAGACGGGGAUGACUUGUUGCUAGGGGUGAAAGGCCAAUCAAACCCGGAGAUAGCUGGUUCUCCGCGAAAACUAUUUAGGUAGUGCGUUGUGUAUCACCAUCGGGGGUAGAGCACUGGAUGGGCUAGGGGGGAGCUAAUCCUUACCAAACCUAACCAAACUCCGAAUACCGAUGAGUGCAGCACAGCAGACAGACAUUGGGUGCUAAGGUCCAAUGUCGAAAGGGAAACAGCCCAGACCGCCAGCUAAGGUCCCCAAGUCAUGGCUAAGUGGCAAAGGAUGUGAGAAAUCCAAAACAGCCAGGAGGUUGGCUUAGAAGCAGCCAUCCUUUAAAGAUAGCGUAACAGCUCACUGGUCUAAAUAAGAUUUCUUGCGCCGAAGAUGUAUCGGGGCUAAAGCCAUGCACCGAAGCUGCGGAUGUGAUUUAUCACAUGGUAGCGGAGCGUUCCGUAAGCCUGCGAAGGGUUACCGCGAGGUAAUCUGGAGGUAUCGGAAGUGAGAAUGCUGACACGAGUAGCGAUAAACAGUGUGAGAGACACUGUCACCGAAAAUCCAAGGGUUCCUGCGUAAAGCUAAUCUGCGCAGGGUGAGCCGGCCCCUAAGGCGAGGGCGAAAGCCGUAGUCGAUGGGAACCAGGUUAAUAUUCCUGGGCCUGCUGGAAGUGACGAAUACCGUAAAUUGUAAAAGCUUAUUGGAUUGCUUUUGCAGUGAAGGUGUUCCAGGAAAUAACUCCAGCUUAUAGACCGUACUCUAAACCAACACAGGUGGAUUGGUAGAGAAUACCUAGGUGCUUGAGAGAACGAUGGUGAAGGAACUCGGCAAAAUGCCCCCGUAACUUCGGGAGAAGGGGGACCUUUUCUUGGGCAACCAGGAAGAGGUGGCACAGACUAGGGGAUGGCGACUGUUUACUAAAAACACAGGACUCUGCAAACUCGUAAGAGGACGUAUAGGGUCUGACGCCUGCCCGGUGCCGGAAGGUUAAGAGGAGGAGUGCAAGCUUCGAAUUGAAGCCCCGGUAAACGGCGGCCGUAACUAUAACGGUCCUAAGGUAGCGAAAUUCCUUGUCGGGUAAGUUCCGACCCGCACGAAUGGCGCAACGACUUUCCCACUGUCUCCACCAUCGACUCAGCGAAACUGAAUUCUCCGUGAAGAUGCGGAGUACGCGUGGUCAGACGGAAAGACCCCGUGCACCUUUACUACAACUUUACAGUGGUAUUAGAUGUUGAACGUGUAGGAUAGGCGGGAGCCUUUGAAGUGUCAGCGCCAGUUGGCAUGGAGGCAACCUUGAAAUACCGCCCUUUUUGCUUCUGAUAUCUAACCGAGGUCCGUUAUCCGGAUCCGGGACCCUGUAUGGUGGGUAGUUUGACUGGGGCGGUCGCCUCCCAAAGAGUAACGGAGGCGCGCGAAGGUAGGCUCAAGCUGGUCGGAAAUCAGCUGUGGAGUGCAAUGGCAAAAGCCUGCCUGACUGUGAGAGUGACAACUCGAGCAGAGACGAAAGUCGGUCAUAGUGAUCCGGUGGUCCCGUGUGGAAGGGCCAUCGCUCAACGGAUAAAAGGUACGCCGGGGAUAACAGGCUGAUACUUCCCAAGAGUUCAUAUCGACGGAAGUGUUUGGCACCUCGAUGUCGGCUCAUCACAUCCUGGGGCUGUAGCAGGUCCCAAGGGUUCGGCUGUUCGCCGAUUAAAGUGGUACGUGAGCUGGGUUUAGAACGUCGUGAGACAGUUCGGUCCCUAUCUGCCAUGCGUGUAGGAUAUUUGAGAGGAGCUGUCCUUAGUACGAGAGGACCGGGAUGGACAUACCUCUGGUGUACCUGUUGUUACGCCCGUAGCAUAGCAGGGUAGCUAAGUAUGGAAGGGAUAACCGCUGAAAGCAUCUAAGCGGGAAGCCUUCCUCGAGACUAGAUAUCCCUUGAGAGUUGUGGAAGACUACCACGUUGAUAGGCCAGGUGUGGAAGCACAGUAAUGUGUGAAGCUAACUGGUACUAAUAACUCGAUCGGCUUUAGU
rnacentral:rRNA from 1 species